GAUGAACGCUGGCGGCGUGCCUAAUACAUGCAAGUCGAGCGAAUGGAUUAAGAGCUUGCUCUUAUGAAGUUAGCGGCGGACGGGUGAGUAACACGUGGGUAACCUGCCCAUAAGACUGGGAUAACUCCGGGAAACCGGAGCUAAUACCGGAUAACAUUUUGAACCGCAUGGUUCGAAAUUGAAAGGCGGCUUCGGCUGUCACUUAUGGAUGGACCCGCGUCGCAUUAGCUAGUUGGUGAGGUAACGGCUCACCAAGGCAACGAUGCGUAGCCGACCUGAGCGGGUGAUCGGCCACACUGGGACUGAGACACGGCCCAGACUCCUACGGGAGGCAGCAGUAGGGAAUCUUCCGCAAUGGACGAAAGUCUGACGGAGCAACGCCGCGUGAGUGAUGAAGGCUUUCGGGUCGUAAAACUCUGUUGUUAGGGAAGAACAAGUGCUAGUUGAAUAAGCUGACACCUUGACGGUACCUAACCAGAAAGCCACGGCUAACUACGUGCCAGCAGCCGCAGUAA
rnacentral:rRNA from 1 species